AUACAACGAAGAGAAGGUACAUUUAAAGGAAUUCCAAUUGUGAUUUCCUAUUUCCUAUCAAUUUCAGUUACUGUAAUAAAAACUUGUUGCCAUUGAGGGAUGAACAUCUUAGAUUGACUGUUAUGUUAACAUAUUUUGUUAUUAUUUGGGAGUGUUAGGUCUCUGAUCAGCAGGGGCAUUUCCUCUAUAUAAGAAGAAAAUGGAGACUCCUGACCCACCCGAUGUAUUUUGUCGGACAGUUUUCUGUACAUUGCAGUCACCAAUAUAUCCAAAUAUCAUCACCGGCCCAGACGUCAUUCACUCCUUUGAAUUGUGCUGGUAGCAGUAAGGUGUCAUCAUUUGAGAUGGUCACAGUAUCCAAUACACUGAAGUCACAGGACUCAAAUUUCAUACAUGUUCACAGGGUCUCUGCCAAAAUCUUUUGAGGAUUUUUCCUCUUGCUGAGCAUCCAUGGAUGCAAUUGAAACAACCCAGGACAUCCCAACACAUAUGGAUAAUCAGGCCAUGGCCUACAGUAUGUACAAAAGUUGCCAUACUUUUAAAGCAGUAACUUGCGUGCCUCCAAAUGGUGCACUUACAUUUUGCUCCAUGCUGUACCCAGGUUCUACUUCUGAUGUAGCUAUUGUACGUCACAG